rnacentral:rRNA from 1 species
UGGGGAAUUUUGGACAAUGGGCGAAAGCCUGAUCCAGCAAUGCCGCGUGUGUGAAGAAGGCCUUCGGGUUGUAAAGCACUUUUGUCCGGAAAGAAAUCCUUGGCUCUAAUACAGUCGGGGGAUGACGGUACCGGAAGAAUAAGCACCGGCUAACUACGUGCCAGCAGCCGCGGUAAUACGUAGGGUGCAAGCGUUAAUCGGAAUUACUGGGCGUAAAGCGUGCGCAGGCGGUUUGCUAAGACCGAUGUGAAAUCCCCGGGCUCAACCUGGGAACUGCAUUGGUGACUGGCAGGCUAGAGUAUGGCAGAGGGGGGUAGAAUUCCACGUGUAGCGGUGAAAUGCGUAGAGAUGUGGAGGAAUACCGAUGGCGAAGGCAGCCCCCUGGGCCAAUACUGACGCUCAUGCACGAAAGCGUGGGGGAGCAAACAGGAUUAGAUACCCUGGUAGUCCACGCCCUAAACGAUGUCAACUAGUUGUUGGGGAUUCAUUUCCUUAGUAACGUAGCUAACGCGUGAAGUUGACCGCCUGGGGAGUACGGUCGCAAGAUUAAAACUCAAAGGAAUUGACGGGGUCAUAGCUGUUUCCU